rnacentral:rRNA from 1 species
AUUGAACGCUGGCGGCAUGCUUUACACAUGCAAGUCGAACGGUAACAGGCCGCAAGGUGCUGACGAGUGGCGAACGGGCGAGUAAUGCAUCGGAACGUGCCCAGUCGUGGGGGAUAACUGCUCGAAAGAGCAGCUAAUACCGCAUACGAUCUAUGGAUGAAAGCGGGGGACCGUAAGGCCUCGCGCGAUGGGAGCGGCCGAUGUCAGAUUAGGUAGUUGGGGGGGUAAAGGCUAACCACGCCAACGAUAUGUAGCUGGUCUGAGAGGACGACAAGCCACACUGGGACUGAGACACGGCCCAGACUCCUACGGGAGGCAGCAGUGGGGAAUUUUGGACAAUGGGGGCAACCCUGAUCCAGCAAUGCAGCGUGCAGGAAGAAGGCCUUCGGGUUGUAAACUGCUUUUGUACGGAACGAAACGGUCUGGGUUAAUACCCUGGGCUAACGACGGUACCGUAAGAAUAAGCACCGGCUAACUACGUGCCAGCCGCCGCCGUAA